AGAGUUUGAUCCCAGCUCAGGAUGAACGCUAGCGGUGCGCUUAACACAUUCAAGUCGUGCGAUCGAACCAGACGGAUUUUCCUUCGGGGACUGAAGACUGGUCACGGAGCGGCGAACUGGUGAGUAACACGUAGCUAACCUACCUUCUUGACAGGAACAACCAUUCGAAAGGAUGGCUAAUGCCUGAUGUUGUGCGGAGUUUAUGACUUCGUUCCAAAGGCGGUCUUGCCGCCGCAAGGAGAGGGGGCUGCGCUCUAUUAGCUUGUUGGUAGGGUAAUGGCCUACCAAGGCGAUAAUGGAUAGCUGGUCUGAGAGGACGAUCAGCCACAUUGGGACUGAGAUACGGCCCAGACUCCUACGGGAGGCAGCAGUGGGGAAUAUUGGACAAUGGACGAAAGUCCGAUCCAGCGACACCGCGUGGAGGAUGAAGGCUUUCGGGUUGUAAACUCCUUUUCUGGGGGAAGAAUAAGGUUGGGAGGAAAUGCCCAUCCGAUGACGGUACCCCAGGAAUAAGCAUCGGCAAACUUCGUGCCAGCAGCCGCGGUAAGACGAGGGAUGCAAGCGUUAUCCGGAAUUACUGGGCGUAAAGGGCGUCUAGGCGGUUGGAUAAGUCAUUUGUGAAAUCCCAGGGCUUAACCCUGGAAGGUCUUGUGAUACUGUCCGGCUUGGGUGUAGGAGAGGAGAGCGGAACUCACAGAGUAGCGGUGGAAUGCGUAGAUACUGUGAGGUACCCCGAUGGCGAAGGCAGCUCUCUGGCCUAUUACCGACGCUGAAGCGCGAAAGCGUGGGGAGCAAAGGGGAUUAGAUACCCCCGUAGUCCACGCCGCAAACGAUGUUCACUUGGUGUCGGGAGCCUAUAUAUCUCGGUGCCGGAGCUAACGCGUUAAGUGAACCGCCAGAGGAGUACGGCCGCAAGGCUAAAACUCAAGAGAAUUGACGGGUCCCCGCACAAGCGGUGGAGCACGUGGUUUAAUUCGAUAAGCGAAGAACCUCACCUGGGCUUGACAUACUAGUGGUAAGAACCGGAAACGGUGAUGACCUUUCCUUCGGGUUAGGAGCUAGUACAGGUGAUGCAUGGCUGUCGUCAGCUCGUGUCGUGGGAUGUAGGGUUAAGUCCCGAAACGAGCGCAACCCUUGUCACUAGUUGCCAGCGGAUAAUGCCGGGGACUCUAGUGAGACUGCUGGUGAAUAGCCGGAGGAAGGCGGGGAUGACGU
rnacentral:rRNA from 1 species